rnacentral:rRNA from 1 species
GAUGAACGCUGGCGGCGUGCCUAAUACAUGCAAGUCGAGCGAACGGACGAGAAGCUUGCUUCUCUGAUGUUAGCGGCGGACGGGUGAGUAACACGUGGAUAACCUACCUAUAAGACUGGGAUAACUUCGGGAAACCGGAGCUAAUACCGGAUAAUAUUUUGAACCGCAUGGUUCAAAGGUGAAAGACGGUCUUGCUGUCACUUAUAGAUGGAUCCGCGCUGCAUUAGCUAGUUGGUAAGGUAACGGCUUACCAAGGCAACGAUGCAUAGCCGACCUGAGAGGGUGAUCGGCCACACUGGAACUGAGACACGGUCCAGACUCCUACGGGAGGCAGCAGUAGGGAAUCUUCCGCAAUGGGCGAAAGCCUGACGGAGCAACGCCGCGUGAGUGAUGAAGGUCUUCGGAUCGUAAAACUCUGUUAUUAGGGAAGAACAUAUGUGUAAGUAACUGUGCACAUCUUGACGGUACCUAAUCAGAAAGCCACGGCUAACUACGAG